rnacentral:lncRNA from 1 species
GGGAAGGGGCAGGACAGGUGAAGUUUACCACAGGAGCCAAGGCCUUGAACCCACCAGCAAGGGUUCUUGCUGGAACUCGCAGUAUCUCAUCAUGGUUAGAUGGUGAGAUCUCGCCUGAGGAGAGUGGGGUGGCAGCAGGAGACAGCUCACAAAAGGAACUCCACAAUGUUUGUUUCUGAUGCUCCUGGGGCUGUUGUCAGCAUGGAUAAGAAAUCCAGAAGACCUCAGAAGAGAUGCCAAGGGAUGACUUUGAGCUCGUGUCUUUGCUGCGUAUCUAGACUCUCUUGGAGAACUAGCAGGUCUGGGAUGGGAAUAGAGAAACAGAAUCACACAAGUGAAAUGAUCUGCCUGGGGUCUCUAAAGCUGAUUAGCAGCGCAGCCAGAAUUAGAAUCGCCUACUUUGGAGGUCAUUUCUCCAUGCCACCUGCCUGGUAGAGGAAUGUCUGCUGGGUGCUUAGGUUCAUCAAAAAUCCACAAUUUUAGAAUCUCAAAAAUAAAGAUACUAAAUUUUGGAAAAAGCA